GGAGGGUGCGAGCGUUGUCCGGAAUCACUGGGCGUAAAGCGCACGUAGGCGGUGGUGUAAGUCACUUGUGAAAUUCCGGAGCUCAACUCCGGGCCUGCAGGUGAUACUGCGCCGCUAGAGCGCGGUAGAGGCGAGCGGAAUUCCCGGUGUAGCGGUGGAAUGCGUAGAUAUCGGGAAGAACACCAGUGGCGAAGGCGGCUCGCUGGGCCGACGCUGACGCUGAGGUGCGAAAGCGUGGGGGGAGCAAACAGGAUUAGAUACCCUGGUAGUCCACGCCCGUAAACGAUGGGUACUAGGUGUCGGGGGGAGCGACCCCCCCCCCCUCGGUGCCGUCGCUAACGCAAUAAGUACCCCCGCCUGGGGAGUACGGCCGCAAGGCUG
rnacentral:rRNA from 1 species